ACGGAGGGAGCUAGCGUUGUUCGGAAUUACUGGGCGUAAAGCGCGCGUAGGCGGCUAUUCAAGUCAGAGGUGUACGCCCGAGGCUCAAACCCGGAACUGCCUUUGAAACUAGAUAGCUAGAAUCUUGGAGAGGUCAGUGGAAUUCCGAGUGUAGAGGUGAAAUUCGUAGAGAUUCGGAAGAACACCAGUGGCGAAGGCGACUGACUGGACAAGUAUUGACGCUGAGGUGCGAAAGCGUGGGGAGCAAACAG
rnacentral:rRNA from 1 species